rnacentral:rRNA from 1 species
UACAGAGGGGGCAAGCGUUGUUCGGAAUUACUGGGCGUAAAGGGCUCGUAGGCGGCCAACUAAGUCGGACGUGAAAUCCCCAGGCUCAACCUGGGAACUGCGUCCGAUACUGGAUGGCUUGAAUCCGGGAGAGGGAUGCAGAAUUCCAGGUGUAGCGGUGAAAUGCGUAGAUAUCUGGAGGAAUACCGGUGGCGAAGGCGGCAUCCUGGACCGGCAUUGACGCUGAGGAGCGAAAGCCAGGGGAGCAAACGGG